GUUCCCAUGCUAGAAUUCUCUGCCCAAAUAAUCAGUCAAGAUAUUCUCUGCGUUAACUAACCUUACUGUGGUAAUCAUUUUGCAAAAUACAUGUAUAUUAAAUCAUCACAUUGUACAACUUAAACUUACACAAUGUUAUAUGUCAAACAUAUCUCAAUAAAGCUGGGGAAAAAACAUGUCAAAUAAAAGAAGAAAUGGAAUGAAAUAACAGAAACAUUCAGUAAUUGGAUAACAGAAUGAAAAAUAUUUUGUUGAAUAUACAUUUUCCCAAAUACUUGAUUAAGGGCUUAUCUGGAUGAUAUUAGUCGUGGCUAUUCAAGAAUAAAACAUAUUAAAUACAGAAGAAAAAAAGACAUUCUCACAUAGUCAAAGUCUGAAGAAUUUAUUUCCCAUGCACUGUUUUCUGGAAGCUGCUAGAGAAUGUGCUCCCCCAAGAUGAGGGGGUAAAUCUAGGGGAAGACAGGGAUGCAGGAACCCUGAGAGCCGACUGAAAGGAUGGAGAAGGGAAGCCUCAGAUGGCAGGGAAGGGAGAAGCCGGGAGCAGAGCUGGGCAGCAGUGGCAGAGGGCAGCCAGUCCAGCCCGGGCCAGGUGGGAAGGCUUGGGGAGAAGUUCUUCGUGAAGAUUAAAUCGCCAGAAAAAGGGAGGCAUGUGAUCCCCUUGGGAGAGGACUUAGACAACUGGCGGAAGAAUCUGGAGUUGAAUUAUGAAACAGAGACAAUGACACAAACAAAAAAAACCCGGGAUAAUUAUUCUAGUGAAAACAAAAAGUACAGAGAAUUAACCACAGGGUAGUACACGGCUCAGCUGUAGACAGCUUUCACAGCCAUAAUAACGUAAAGAAGAAAUACUGAUCUGACCCAAUUACAGUGUUAUUAGAUCGAGAGACCGGGGGCUGUGGAGGGAGCACAUAUGUGGUCAGAGCAGCGGAGAGAAAAGAGAGCUGAGUCUUUGUGGUCCAUGAGAGGAAGUCAUUAGAUAAUGGCUAAAACUGAAAAAGCAAAAAGUACAAUACAGAGAUAUUGUCCAGAGACAUAAAUGGAAAUACCAAAAUAAUCUCCAGAGAGAAUAGAAGUGGUUGCUUCUGGGGAAGGAGAAAUUAGGAGUGGCAAGCAAUGGACUGCUGUUUUAUUCUUUUAAUAACAAAACUAGAAGUAUUUGGUUUUCUAAAAAUUACAUUGUACAUGUAUAACUUUGAAUAAAAAUAGAAACUUAAAAAAAGUGUUUUACAAGUAUCAAGUGAUAACUGUUUCUUUUCCUUUCACAUCUAGGUGGAGUAGAAGGGCCCUGGAAACACCCAGAUCAGCUUUGUUGUGGCAAUUGUUGCUGUGAUUUUUUCGUGUUUUUUUCCGACUUGCAUAUACUAAGGCCAAUAUCCUACGUGUGCCCUUUCAGGCUGGAUCAUAGGCUCUAACAAAGGCUGUGCCUGGCAGGCCCUAUAGGGAAAAGCUGGCUUUCCCACAGUCGACUUGGUGCGUGUCCUGGAGGGAUGCUCAAAAUAUGUUCGUGGGG
rnacentral:lncRNA from 1 species